AGACAACCUGUUUAGUUGAAAGAAGUUCUGAGGUGACCAUCAAUCAUAGUGGACUAAGUGGAGAGUCUGUUAAUGAAAUUAAUGGAAAAAGAUUUGAGGGUCAUGAGAAUGAUAACAAAGUCAAUGGAGCAACUUCCACAUCGAAACAAGAAGAAACUGUCUGGGUGGAGGGUCUUCUCCCUGGCAUUGACUUUUGCAACCAUGACUUGAAGGCAGUGGCAACAUGGGAAGUUCCUGUCCCAAAGAUAUACAAUGAGCAAAUAACAGAUUUAUUGGAUCCAAAUCGAAGAAACCUGCAG